rnacentral:lncRNA from 1 species
CCAACAUAAUAAUCUUGAGUAAUCCAGCACAAAUAUAACAUAGAGCAGAUCACAUCUUCAUAUCAUUGAUUCAAAAGGGAGAUUGGACACAAACACAAAUAAUUGCAUAGGAAUAGCAAAGUUUUGACCAUACGAAAAUCAAAAGGGGAGGGGAUGGAUCUAGAUUAUUGGAUCUCUAUUCAUAAAUCAUUCAACCUUGUAUGAAGCCAACAAGAUGAACUGAAGGUUCACUAUACUAACUCCAUAUCCUCUCUAUUAGUAAUUACAACAUGCUCAACUAAACUGAUUUGGACAAAAUAAUCACAUUAAAUAAAACAGACAGAUCAGAGAAGAACAAAAUGGAAUACUUUCAUGUGCUCCAAUUCUUCAUUUUUCAUUUUUCAUUCCUCAAAUUCACUUCAUAACUAAAGGAGUUACAGGGUCGUGUACCUGGAAAUGGAAAGAUACAAACUAUGGAGAAUCAGCAGUAGCAGUAGCAGAUAUCAACAACAAUAACAGCGACAAACAUAGCCCAGACUUGGUAAAUGAACCCAAGAGAUUAACCCCAAAAGACCAAUGGAUCAGCAGUUUCAACAGUUUUAUCAGAAAUUAACCAAAAGAUUUCGAUGGAACAGUACUUUUCUUAUUGAUCCUUUGGGCAGUUUUGAUCCCAGAAGCUCUAAACUCUCACUCUCACAAAAUGUCUAUCUCUCAGUUCUCCUCCCCUCUCUACUCUAUCCGUGUGUCUUCUCUUAAAGACUAGGACCAACUCCCUUUUAUUCACAUCUUUUCUCUUUCCAGCUUGUGUAUUCCCUCCUUGUGCACCCCUUCAAACUUUUAUCAUUAGCCCAUGUUCUCUAUGAUUUCCCCCACCUUUAAAAGUUUUUAAAAGGGUGUCAACUUUACUGUCAUCUUCAAUUUUUUAAUCUACCCUCUGUUCUUCUCUGAAUUCCCACCACUAAAGGUACUUAAGGGCUGCUACUUCCCACUACUGAUCCUUCUUUUCAAUUUCUAAUUAAACCUCUAAAGAUGUGCACAAACUGUCAUGUCCAUUACCAAUCCCUUUGUUUCUUAAUUAACUCCAACUAACCACAUUACCCUUAUGAGGACUAUUUACAUGUUAAGGUUUCAAAAUAAAUCCAAAAUAGAUGUAGAGAUUUUGAAAAUGAAUUGAGCCUGAGUCAAACAUACAAACAUUUAUAGAAUCAUGUAAACCAAAAUUCAAACAGAAAUUGCAAACAAAUUAUUGCAUUUAACUAAGCAGUAACUUGACAUGCAAUGUUCAUAUUUGUUGUACUCAGCAAAUUAAGACACAAACAGAUUGAAACUUCAUAUAAUAAAAGGGCAAGAACAUGAUAAAACCUUGAAUUUCAGCCUACGGGAAAGGGAUGAGGAGGAAGAUACAUAAAAGAAAAACAUUGAAAAACGAAGAAACACUUACCAGAAUCGAACCCUUUAUUCCGCUCCAAAGAUCUUCCUGCUCUUUUGUGAGACGGGCUCUAAUCGUAUGUUUUUGCUCGAUUGAAAACGCACGAUUACAGCCUAUUUCAACCUAAAAAUCUUGAAAUCUUAAAUAAGCAGUGUUUUUGGGGACUCAAGGUUCAACUUUUCGAUCUGAAAUUCGAAAGGCUCUACGGUGAUUCGAGGAAAACUAUCAUGGGAUUUGGGACGAGGGAAGCCUGGUGGUUCAGGGGUGUGGUUUUUGGGGUUGAUUGGAUAAGCUAGAGUUUCUUACCGAACUUCGAUUGAAGAUUCGAGGCGUUUGGCUAUGAUUCGAAGAGAGGUGUUUGGAUAUUUGGAAUGGGGAGGUUGAGGGGGAUAAGUGGUGUGAAGAUGAGGGUGAACGGAGCCAGCGCCGCCACCCUGAGGCGGUUAGGGUACGGUGGCGGCGUCUCUAGGGUUUGGUUAGAGAUGAAAGGGUUGAGGGGUUCUGAAGGGGGCGGGUUUGAUUGGACACAUAUAUACUGGGGGUGGAAUUGGA